rnacentral:rRNA from 1 species
GAUGAACGCUGGCGGCGUGCCUAAUACAUGCAAGUCGAACGCGCAGCGAGAGGUGCUUGCACCUUUCAAGCGAGUGGCGAACGGGUGAGUAACACGUGGAUAACCUGCCUCAAGGCUGGGGAUAACAUUUGGAAACAGAUGCUAAUACCGAAUAAAACUUAGUAUCGCAUGAUAUAAAGUUAAAAGGCGCUACGGCGUCACCUAGAGAUGGAUCCGCGGUGCAUUAGUUAGUUGGUGGGGUAAAGGCUUACCAAGACAAUGAUGCGUAGCCGAGUUGAGAGACUGAUCGGCCACAUUGGGACUGAGACACGGCCCAAACUCCUACGGGAGGCUGCAGUAGGGAAUCUUCCACAAUGGGCGCAAGCCUGAUGGAGCAACGCCGCGUGUGUGAUGAAGGCUUUCGGGUCGUAAAGCACUGUUGUAUGGGAAGAAAUGCUAAAAUAGGGAAUGAUUUUAGUUUGACGGUACCAUACCAGAAAGGGACGGCUAAAUACGUGCCAGCAGCCGCAGUAA